CGGAACGUGCCCAGUAGCGGGGGAUAACUACGCGAAAGCGUAGCUAAUACCGCAUACGCCCUUAGGGGGAAAGCAGGGGAUCGCAAGACCUUGCACUAUUGGAGCGGCCGAUAUCGGAUUAGCUAGUUGGUGAGGUAAUGGCUCACCAAGGCCGCGAUCCGUAGCUGGUUUGAGAGGACGACCAGCCACACUGGGACUGAGACACGGCCCAGACUCCUACGGGAGGCAGCAGUGGGGAAUUUUGGACAAUGGGGGAAACCCUGAUCCAGCCAUCCCGCGUGUACGAUGAAGGCCUUCGGGUUGUAAAGCACUUUUGGCAGGAAAGAAACGGCGCGUGCUAAUACCAUGCGCAACUGACGGUACCUGCAGAAUAAGCACCGGCUAACUACGUGCCAGCAGCCGCGGUAAUACGUAGGGUGCAAGCGUUAAUCGGAAUUACUGGGCGUAAAGCGUGCGCAGGCGGUUCGGAAAGAAAGAUGUGAAAUCCCAGGGCUCAACCUUGGAACUGCAUUUUUAACUACCGGACUAGAGUAUGUCAGAGGGAGGUGGAAUUCCACGU
rnacentral:rRNA from 1 species